AUUGAACGCUGGCGGCAGGCUUAACACAUGCAAGUCGAGCGAGCGGCGGACGGGUGAGUCAUGUCUGGGAAACUGCCUGAUUGAGGGGGAUAACUCCUGGAAACGGUAGCUAAUACCGCAUACCCUCAGAUGUGCCCCGAUGGGAUUAGCUAGUAGGUGGGGUAAGGGCUCACCUAGGCGACGCUCCCUAGCUGGUCUGAGAGGAGGACCAGCCACACUGGAACUGAGAAACGGCCCAGACUCCGACGGGAGGCAGCAGUGGGGAAUAUUGCACAAGGGGCGCAAGCCGGAUGCAGCCAUGCCGCGGGUAUGAAGAAGGCCUGCGGGUUGUAAAGUACUUUCAGCGAGGAGGCGUUACUCGAAGAAGAAGCACCGGCUAACUCCGUGCCAGCAGCCGCGGUAAUUC
rnacentral:rRNA from 1 species